CCUGGGCUGCUUUCUUUUAAUUCUCCCUUCCCUCCUCCUCAGAGGAGCGCAAACAAUGUUCUUUUGAUGCUUUCCUGCGAGUGGGAAUCUCGCCCUGGAGAAGGAGACAAAACUUUGCUACCUGUGAAACGAAGACUGCUUAGGUAGCAGUGGAAAUGAAAGCAAAUCUGUUUGGCCACACAGGCUCCACAAAUGAGUAACUUCAGUGGGAAUUGCUCAUGGAAAAGAGAAAGGAUCACCUGGAUUCUUCUGGAGCUGGGAGUCAGGGCCAGAAAUCUGCAGGAAGGACCUACCCAAGGAACAAGAGGAGGAUUUCACUUCUCCAGAGCUCCAUCCCACCGCGAGCUCC